rnacentral:rRNA from 1 species
GACGAACGCUGGCGGCGUGCUUAACACAUGCAAGUCGAACGGUAAGGCCCUUCGGGGUACACGAGUGGCGAACGGGUGAGUAACACGUGGGUGAUCUGCCCUGCACUUCGGGAUAAGCCUGGGAAACUGGGUCUAAUACCGGAUAGGACCAUUGCCUGCAUGGGUGGUGGUGGAAAGCUUUUGCGGUGUGGGAUGGGUCCGCGGCCUAUCAGCUUGUUGGUGGGGUGAUGGCCUACCAAGGCGACGACGGGUAGCCGGCCUGAGAGGGUGACCGGCCGCACUGGGACUGAGAUACGGCCCAGACUCCUACGGGAGGCAGCAGUGGGGAAUAUUGCACAAUGGGCGCAAGCCUGAUGCAGCGACGCCGCGUGAGGGAUGACGGCCUUCGGGUUGUAAACCUCUUUCAGCACCGACGAAGCGCAAGUGACGGUAGGUGCAGAAGAAGGACCGGCCAACUACGUGCCAGCAGCCGCGGUAA